ACAAUCCAAUAAAUUUUUUUUUUGUGCACUAUUUUAUUUUUAUUUUGCAAUAUUAAAAGAAAAUAAUUUAACAAAGCAAGCAAGAAAAUGAAGAAGCAUCGUGCAACAAUUCAAAACACAAUUCUUUAUUCUAAUUAAUGAUAAUUUGAGACAUGACUAGAAUGUAAUCAAAAUCAUUGACAGCUACGAACAAUUCGAAAAGUACAUAUAUAUUGGUGUAAGUAUGGUCUUUUAUCGUAUGGUAGUUUUGUGUUAAGAAUUUGUUCAAGUGCAAAAGGAGAGAAAUGGGCGCAUUUUGAGAAAAACUUUACGUAAUGAAAUCCGAUGUACAGAUGAAAAUAAUCUUCCUUGAGGCAAUUUGUUAGCAACUUCAUAUGUGCACAUCAAUGUUACCUUCUUUUCCAAUACACUUAUCAUCACCGAUUGAGUCUCUCCUGAAAUAUGAGAAAAGGUAUUAGUG
rnacentral:lncRNA from 1 species